rnacentral:rRNA from 1 species
UACAGAGGUGGCAAGCGUUGUUCGGAAUUACUGGGCGUAAAGGGCGCGUAGGCGGCCUCGCAAGUCCCGUGUGAAAUCCCUCGGCUCAACUGAGGAAUGGCACGGGAAACUGCGGGGCUUGAGUUCGGGAGAGGGAAGCGGAAUUCCGGGUGUAGCGGUGAAAUGCGUAGAUAUCUGGAGGAACACCGGUGGCGAAGGCGGCAUCCUGGACCAAUUCUGACACUGAGGAGCGAAAGCCAGGGGAGCAAACGGG